AACAGUGUGGUGUAGUGGUUUGAGCAUCAGGCUAGCACUCUGGAAACCAGGGUUCAAAUCCCAGCUUAGCUA